rnacentral:lncRNA from 1 species
UUUUUUUUUGUUUUUUACUACGUUUCCCAACAAUUACAAUAAUGAUCUACGACUUUAAAUUUAUGUAAUGUUUAAGUUUCAUGGGAAGAAACAUGGAUUUUGUCGUUCAUAAAAUUUAGUUUCAUUGUUGUAACCUACGAAAAUAGAUUUAAUACACAUACAUGUGUUCCCACUGUUUACAGAUGCAUCAUAUGAUUCCGAUUGAAACAAAUUCAAAUAAAAAAAAUCACAAUUGUAGCGAAAGUAAAAUAAUUUUAUUUCAUGUUUGCCACUCAUAGCUUUUGAUAAUUAUCACAAUUGUCACUUUUGCCACAGAAUGGCGAUUGUGAUAAUUGUCAAAAACUAAGAGUGGCAAAAGUGAAAUGUCAAAAUUUAGAGUCGCAUAAAAAAAAUUGGCAAAAUCUGGAUGGCAAGAACAAAAAUUUCCCACCGUUGCGGUGGUGGGACUUCUUAUCUUCAAGGCUUUAAUUUCUGAGGACACGAGAUGAACUCUUUCCUUUAGAGUACUCAAAUGAUUGUUGAAAGUAGAUAUUUUGUUUUGAUGAGCAAGAGAGAAGAACAAAUAGGAAGCAACAAGAGUAACAGAACUAGGAUAGUUGAAUCAUUUUCCUUAUCUAUUAUAGAAGUGUUUGUUAUUUUCUGUUUUCACCGGUAAGGCACUCCACGGAACAGGUAUACGACCCCACACGAACAGGUAUAUCUCCAUGAUAUACGAACGCAAUACAGAUAAAAGUGAAAAUAGAAAUCAGUCUAUACAUCUCCAAAUAUGUGAAUCUUGGCGCAGAUCAACGACACAGAAUCCAUGUGCCCCCGCACUUGAGUACCCUAAAUCCUUGUCCCCGCGUUCACCAUUGUUUGCUAGGCUGACUGAAGAAAAACUCCUCCCACUAUACUGUCAAUGGUCAUGACUCCAACAUGGGCCAUUGAACGAAGAUCUGAUUGAGCAUACGUGAACGGUAAAAAAAACAACAAUGUUGGAGUGUAAUGUUUAACCUUAUUUAAAUUAGGGUUAAUGCUGCAUUUGAACGUUUGAACUAUCAUAGAUUAUAUAUGCGGCUUUUUGAGCAUGUGGGCUUUAACAAAAAUUUAGAGACGGAUGUACGUGGAUAGCAUUGGAUAGGUGGCUUCGGCAUCUGCGCCUACGGACUGGUUAUGUACGAGGACGGAUGCGGAAACAAAUUUAUGAGUCAACUGUAGAUGCCCUAAUAAUUUUUAUAUGUAAUUCUAGGUCCUUCUGGACCCUCCUUAUGUCCAAGAAGAAAAAAAGAAUCGUGACGUUUACCGGCAGGACUCGAUCUCGAGAGUCUCUGGCACGCAGUCGAUGAUCCAAUCCAAUGGACAGGCAUCGAUCUGCCCGGACGCGACGUGCAGUUUUAUACUUUUGCUGACUCGCUGCUGCUGUCAAACGAUUUUACCCACACUAGACCAAACAAGUUGGCCGUACUGGCACGGCAAAACUCUCGCGGUUACUGUCGUCGCAUCUAUUGCCAGCUCGUUACACGCGCCUGCACGUCUGCGCAGAGAAUAUUUUCCAGCCUCCUGCUGAAGAUACGUACGUCCGAUUAACAAGUCCCUGACCGUGGCAUAGGAAAUCUUACAGCCCUGUUGACCGCUGGUCUCGGGGCCUGAAUUGGUCGUGCAUGCCCAUCAGCACGGGAAGGUGAUCAUUACCUGGUCUCUCGGCUGCUAGGGCAGUUAAUUAGGACCUCUUCUUGUUUUGCGGGAAAUUUCUAGAAGUUUAAUCCUUUGUUUUUUUCUUCAUAGGAUUACAAUCCAUGUGUCUUUUUCUUUGAGGAAUUCGUUUGCACUAGUUUUUGCAGGGAUUUUUUUAUCUACUCAAUCUUAUGUGAAUAAUCCUAUGUAUGUCCUGCGUGCAAUCAUAUGUUUUUUCUUUCGAGGGAAUCAAAUGUUCAUAUUAAUCAUCUAGGAUUGUUUUCGCAGGUCCGCCUCGUUUCCAGUGGCCUUUUGAUGGAUCCUAACAAGGGCCGGCGAAAGCAUUUCGUUGUUAGUCAUUUGCCCACCUUUGCUCCCUCGUCGCCGGCAAACCCUAGCCACCACAACCACAACGAGAUGGGCCUCUUCUUCGGCGCCAGCGGCAGCAAGGCCAAGGACAAGUCCCCCGCCACCCCUUUCCUCCCGCCUCCGCCGGCGUUGGCGCCUCUGCCGUAUCCAGACGUGAUGCUACCGCACGACUGGCAUCUGGAUCCAGAUAGGAUCCCAAUGCCGGCGGCGCCGCGGUCGGCUCGUGCUCACGUGGAGGAGGUGCGGCACCGGCGGGCGCUGCUGACGCCGGAGCAGCGCAGCGACCCCACCUAUACAACCGACUCGCCCGACUAGGCGAGGUGGUUCGCCUUCGAGCACGAGGAGGCGAGGCGACGGAGCGUGCGUGAGGUCGACCGGAGGUCGCCGCCACCGGCGCUCGUCGUCCGCGAGGAGGACCAGGCGGCGAAGGACGCCUACCAGGCGGCCCUUGCGGCCGUCUGCCGGGAGAGCGAGGAGGACGAGCGACGUAGAGCGGAGGCGGAAGAGGAGGCCUGGUACGAGGCGGCAAUGGCGCGGGCCCUUGCCCUCUCCGCGGCGGGCGACCGCGUGGUGCCGCCAGUGGCCCCGCUGUCCCCCAUCAAGCCGGAGCCGCAGCUGGAGCCCGAGCCCGAGCCCAUCGCGCGCUUCUCCUAGAGGGGAGUGGUGCGCGAGUGGGUGCCUACGCCACCGGUUUGGCUGGGGGCGACGCCGGCGCAGGAGCAGGCGUACCUCGAGAUGUGGCGCCAGCGCCGGCUGGCAGAGGAGCGUCGUCGCGGCGAGUACGAGGAGAUGCUCGAGCGCGACCUCAAGGAGGAGGAGCGCGAGGCCGAGGAGGAGGCGCGCCAGGCCGCUGCUGCACAGGCGGCCGCACCCCCCCUCCCCCCCGCCCCGGCACUGCCUGCGCCGGCACAGCCCGACAGGACGGCGCUCUGGAACACGACGUUCGCCUGGACCAGGCCGGCGCCUACGCUCAUCGACCUCACGGACCCUGAGGACGACGACGACGACGACGCCUAGAGCAGCGCGCCGCCUCGUAGUUUAGGUUGUUUUUAUUUUCUGUAAUGCAAAUGUGGACGCGUGGACUCUCCCCGGCCUUCGUAGCCGGCUUUAAUGUUUAAUUAAUGUUGUUUCUCUUUUUUAAUAUGCAUGCGUUCAUUUUUUUGGCGCCGUUAAAAUGGGUCUCAGGCCAGUGUUGGACGCACGCGUCGACCCAAAUGCGAAAGCGGGCAUCCGUGUCCGUCUAGCCGACCCAAACGGAUAAAAAAUGACGAAAUCGCCGUCCGUUUGAGUCGGCCGUUGGAGUUGCUCUAAGUAGUUCUUAUAGCGAGCUUAAGUUACCUUAUUGUACUUGCUUUUACAUGGAGCAAACACAAACGUCCGGAAAGCGCACGCAUACAGAGGAUAGAAGAUAGCCAUUCAGAGAAGAAUGCUCCUGCCAAGUGCUGAAAGGAAGCCACCUGGAAAUCGACGAACAAAAGCACAAGUUAGCGGCAAGGUCGCAAGGAGAAACGCAGGACAUGUCAAGCGGAGGCGCAGGAGCACAAGAAGGUGGACGAGAAAACGAGCAUACCAUGCCACGCACACGCACGGCGAGGCUCAAAAUAGCGGCGGCGCCACGAACUAGUACUAGGAAACAGGUAAGGAUGAGUCACCGUAUGGCAUUCUUGACAGAAUGAACCAAACAGUGCUGAUACUAAUAACGAAAUAAAAUCUCUUGAAAAUAGUAACAAAUGUUUGCUCCGAAUCCGAGCAUACAAAAAAAUAGUACUACUAGUGUACCACAGCAGCUCAUGCAAAUGUGCGAUGCCACGUGGGAGGACCGGACCGGAGGACGCAUCAACAGAUGCUUGCUUCGUUCUGCCGAUCGAGCCGGACCGGACCGAAAGGCUCGGCGCGUCGGCAUCACGAUUUGGAAGACAGUACGUGUCCGUUCCACGCUAGGCCGAAGGAAGGAACGCGCUGGAGAAAAGGGACGAGCAGGCCGCCAGUAGUUCGCGGAAAGCGACCCGGGAGAUUUCCAGAGUGGAGCUGUCAGCACAAGACGGUGCUCCACUUGCCGCUCCGCUCCGCUUGGGUGGGUGUCCGUACGGGACGGAAGGGAAGGAGUGGCAUCCAGCUCGUUUGUGAUUUGUUGGAUGAAUCAUCAUGGGACCAUGCGAUGGGAGGAGCAUAGCAUAGUACCGACUGCCGUGCAGCUCUACGACGCGGCGGCACCGAAGCACGGUAGGCAGGCCCAUGCGCCACGGGACCAAAACGUGAGAUGAGAGUGAGACAUGAGGAGGGGUUGUUCUUGUACUGUGAGGAACGAGUUAUGUUUACGUUUACCAACCACGGGACUAAUAUAACUUUUAUUAUACUUUCUCCGGUUGGAAUUACUUGUCGUAAAAAUGAUAGAAAUGGAUAGAUCUAGAAAUAAAAUAUGUUCAAAUACAUUCAUGCCUACGUCAAGUAAUUUCAGACGGUGAGAGUACUUGGGAUGCUUUGUAGUCAGUGAACUUGUACAUAGUCCCGGAUCUUCUCAGAAAAGAAGGCAAAUCCAAUAGGUUCCAAAGCUAGCAAUAACAUAAGUAUUACAGCAUUGGAUAGAGGACCCGAAUGAAAACAAAAACUUACAAGCAAGCCCUUCAGUUAUACAUUCAAGACCCAAUAAAAGAACUAAAAAUACAAUUAAGUCUUUAAUCUACACGCGAUCUCACCAGAACACCAUGGCCACCAUCUCCAACCACAGCCUUGCCAACACAAGGCAAGGAGAGAAGGGGCUAACUAGAGGUGUGCUUGUUAACGGUCGUGACAACUGAACACAUUUUUUCACCCGCAAAAAAAACUGAACACAUUUUACUAGCGGCGUGCUGCCUGUUUCGGCCGGGUUGGAACCAGCCCGUCCAUGAACAGAACAGAGAUGUGAACAUCACGCAUUCCACCAAAGAGGGAGGUAAAUAAAUUGCAGCAAAACGAGACCAAGCAAGUUUGAUAUCUGAUUGUAUUUGUAGAGCUAGAUCUCGAAAUAGCUGAAUAGUUCAAACUCUUUCCAAUCUCUCGAUGUACUGUGCGUAUCACCAUUGUGAGAAUGAGAAAAACAGGCACCUGAGUGCACUAGUUUUAUUUGGAUGAACAUGUAUAAACUUGUUAGAAUCAUCAGCUACACCACUACUGAGCUACACCACACUAUAAAUUAAGAUGACAACAUGCAUUUACAUUAUACAGGACUACACAGUGGAUGUCUGGAAACAUCAGCAUUGCCCAAUCAUGGACCAUAACUUACCACUGAGCUACUACAGAUAUGAGCUGUGAGUAAAAAUGGGUCGCCUCGGCCAACUCUAAUCAAGCUAUAGCAAAAAUACUCUGCCGCCUCUAAAACCAUAUUAUUAACUCUAUACUUCUAGGCAAUCGUCUGGUCUAUAACCUUCUCGCGCCUUUCACCAAAACAGCUGCUUUGUGCUAACAAUUCGAUGCCUUCAGGUGACAUCGAAAGUGCAGCAGAACUUAAGUAAUGUCUUGACUGACGACACCUGCAGCACACAAAGAGCAGCAGUCAGUGUUCGUUGGUUGACAUUUUGAACCCUGAU